AGGUCGAUGCAUGAGUGGUUAAUAGGGAUGGACUGUAAAUUCAUUGGCAGUAUGUCUACGCUGGUUCAAAUCCAGCUCAGCAUA